rnacentral:rRNA from 1 species
GAUGAACGCUAGCGGCAGGCCUAAUACAUGCAAGUCGGACGGGAUCUAUCGGAGAGCUUGCUCGAAGAUAGUGAGAGUGGCGCACGGGUGCGUAACGCGUGAGCAACCUACCCAUAUCAGGGGGAUAGCCCGGAGAAAUCCGGAUUAAGACCGCAUAACACAUCACCUUCGCAUGGAGGCGUUGUUAAAUAUUUAUAGGAUAUGGAUGGGCUCGCGUGACAUUAGCUAGUUGGUGAGGUAACGGCUCACCAAGGCGACGAUGUCUAGGGGCUCUGAGAGGAGAAUCCCCCACACUGGUACUGAGACACGGACCAGACUCCUACGGGAGGCAGCAGUAAGGAAUAUUGGUCAAUGGGCGGAAGCCUGAACCAGCCAUGCCGCGUGCAGGACGACUGCCCUAUGGGUUGUAAACUGCUUUUGUCGAGGAAUAAACCUAUCUACGUGUAGAUAGCUGAACGUACUCGAAGAAUAAGGAUCGGCUAACUCCGUGCCAGCCGCCGCCGUAA